GGGGAUUUAGCUCAGUGGUAGAGCGCUUGCCUAGGAAGCGCAAGGCCCUGGGUUCGGUCCCAGCUCCA
rnacentral:tRNA from 1 species